GGUGGUCGGAGCAGCAUGUCCUUGUAGUCCCAGCAGAUGAGAGGCAGAGACUGGCAGACCUCUGGCACUCGCUAGGCAUCCAGCAGCCAAGAGGUGGAUCAGGAAUGGAACCCGGGAACCCAUGGCUGCAGGCAGCUACAGUCUCCUUGAAAGGAAAUUAAAUAAAAUGAAAGGUUUAAACUAAAAAGGCCUGGGUGCAGGCCCUGCCAGCCGGGAAGUACCUGGGAGCCAAGGAUCAUCUCCUGAUCCUUCUCCUGCCUUCUGCCAUGGAGGAGUGGGAGCAGAGACGCCUUCACCUUCAGUGCAGCUCCCAGGCAUUCUGCUACGGACGGAGCCCCACUGCCCAUGAUGGCUCUUGAAAGGUCCAUCCCUCGCUUCUCUUUCUAACCCCAGACUUAUGAUUCUUAGAAUGUUCUCUCAAAUAAACUAUCUUCUCAGGGUCUGCUUUGAGGGAAGACA
rnacentral:lncRNA from 1 species